CAAACCCAGAGAGGCUCAGAGCCAUUGAAAACGGUAUAUUCUUGUUUUCAAGAUCUUGAAGACACUCCAGGAUCCUGAGGCACUAUCCUGCAGUAGUGCAGAUCAUGGAGAUCAUGGGCUAUGACUUAAGAUUGCCUGGAUUUGAAUCUUCAUUACUAGAAUCGCAGAUGAUUCCACCUCCCAGCAACAUGAGACUCAGCUGAACA